CUUGCUGGUUGGGUCAAGAGUGAAUCUACGAAUGCCGCCCUGCUGAUCCUGGGUUUGUAGCCAUCUUUUUUAACCUGCAAAGAAGCAUUUCCCGACAUUCUCUCAUGUGUAGCUCUUGCCAACCUUUGGAGGAUGUGAAGCCGGCAGAGAAAUAAAGCGUCGCCCCUGUGUGCGUCCCUCCCCGCCUGCUAGAAUGUUUCUCAUGAACGCCCCUCCAGUGCUUGCUCUCCAGUCCAAAUGGGAGGGCUUUGGCCUGCCAGGGAGCUUUAGGUUCCCCGGCUGCUUCUCGGAGGCUGACGAGGGCGUGGAGAGCGAGGCGGUGAGCGCCUGGGUGCAGAUGCUCAUCACCACGCUGCAGCGCGAUGGGGCUGCUCGGCGCACCAGCGAUGAGCUCGCCGCGCAGAGGGGCCACAGGGCGGAGGGAUGCCACGACGCCAGGCCGGCGGCCAAGCCUCCCCCCCUCCUCCACCCGUGCACAAGGAGCCGCCAGACUUGGCUGCCUGUGGUCUUGUGGCUGACGUUGACCCCAUGGGGGAGGAGGAAGCUGCAGACUUUGGCCCAUUGGUGCUAGAUUCAGACAGUGAUGAUUCCGUGGACCGGGACAUUGAGGAGGCCUUCCAGGAGUACCUGAAGGCAAAGAGUGGUGCCACACAGCCCGGGUCCGGCAAGGUCCAGCCAGGCACAGCCCAGCAGCCUUCCAGGGCCUCAGGUGGAGGCAGUAGAUGUAAGCCAGAACCGGCUCACAGCAGUGCCCCGACUGCCUUGGGUCCCCCAAAACCUGGCUCAGGCGGUGGCCCUGGCAGCCAGGUGGGAUCCAGCCAGGACCAGGGCUCCGCCUCCCCGGUCAGCGUGAGCAGCGAUGACUCCUUUGAGCAGGGCAUCAGAGCGGAAAUAGAACAGUUUCUAAACGAGAAGAGACAGCAUGAGACCCAAAAAUGUGAUGGGUCAGUGGACAAGAAACCAGGCCCCAAAGAAAAUUCGGCGGCCAAGUUACUCUUGAAAUCCCACCAAGAGCCGGCCGCGAGGGUGGUGCAUCGGCAGGGUCUGAUGGGCACCCAGAAUGAGCUCACCUUCCGCAGACCUCCGCGGUUAGCAAAGAUAAACAUGCAGCCCAGAAACCUCAGGUCCACGGUCACAACCACGCAGGAGCACGAGGGCAGCACAAAGCCAGCAGCCCCCUGCCACCCUUCAGAAGCAACGCAGAAUCAAAGUGGGAUGAAGAGGAGGGCCAGCGCCGCAAGGAGGGGAGGGCGAGCCCCGAGCGCUGCACAGGCGCCCGAGGCGUCCAACUCCAGCAGCGACCACGGCAUCUAGGAGGCCAUCCAGCUGUACCAGCUGCAGAAAACACGCAAGGAGGCGGACGGGGACCCGUCCCAGAGGGCCCAGCUCCGCGAGGAGAGGCAGCCUGACCCUCCCGCACACAGCACAACCAGUGCCACGAAAAAUGCCUUGCCCGAGACCCACAGGAAAACACCCGGCAAGAAGAAGCCAGUGGCCGCCAAGACCACGGACCCUGGCCCCGGGGGGCUGGACACUGACCACUUCCCCAAGCUCCCGAAGGAAACCAAAGCUCCGCCUCCUGUGGGAUCGGCUUCCAGGAGCGAGUUUGUGGAACGGUUCUUGUGCCGGGCAGACACGUCCACUGAGCUGAUGUGCGCGGAAGCGAUCCUGGACAUUUCCAAGACGAUGCUGCCGGCCCCGGUGAAGGGCAGCGACGGAUCCCUGUCCGCGAGCCCACUUUUCCACUCCGCCAACGUGCCUUCCCACUCCGACGGCGACAGUAGCUCCAUGGACAGCGACGACAGCAUCGAACAGGAAAUCCGGACGUUUUUGGCCCUCAAGGCGCAGUCGGGGAGUUUGCUGGCUAGAGGUGAGAGCUGCCCGCAGGUUGCCCAGGGCCCACUUUCACCGCCUGGCCCCAACGGCCAGACCAGCGGCCCCAAGGACCCUCUCUCUAAAACAGCCGACCCACUGCUGGGCUGCAAAAGGAAGCGUAGAGGUGGCGGCCACGUGAGACCAUCCGUGCGCAAGAAAACACGGGAGGUGGUGAAAGACUGGGGCCGGGAUGCCGACCACAGCCAGGGGAGAGCCGAGCCCGGCCAUGAGGGCCGGGACCUGCCUGUCCAGGGCAAAGCCAGCUAGGCCCCGGGAGGGGAGGGCGCCGCUCGCCUGUAACAGAGCCAGGGUAAGACAGACGAGACGUGGCGCUUAGACGAGAAGAACUCCGAAGACAAAAGCAGCUCCCUGGACAGUGACGAGGACCUGGACACGGCCAUCAAGGACUUGUUAAGGUCCAAGCGGAAGCUCAAGAAGCAGUGCAGGGAGCCCAGGGCGGCCUGCAGGAAGAAGGUCCGGUUCAGCACCAAGCAGGCGCACUUCUUGGAGCAGCUGGGCUGGCUCCGGAGAAACUGAGAGGACAGGAGGCCGCCGGUGCUCAAGAGCUGCCUCUCCAAGUCCAAGAGAGACGGCAGUGAGGGCCCCGCGAAGAAAUCCCCCAGCGUCUUUGGCGGCACGGCAGAGACGACGAAGCAAGAGGGUGCCGGGAGCCAGGACACGCCCCCCCCCCCCCCCCCCCCCCCCGCCUUCCGGGUGCGGAGACCCGCCUCUGCCUCCACCUGCGCCUCUGCCUCCGAAGGGAAUCCAUUUCCCAGGGAGUCCCAGGGCUCAGCUCCCAGCCCAGGCUCCCUGUCUGAUGACAGCAGUUCGGUGGACAGCGACGAUAGCAUCGAACUGGAGAUUUGGAAGUUCUUGGCAGAAAAGGCCAAGGAGUCGGUGAGCAGUUCAGAAAUUCAGGCAGAGGGCCCGGCUGCCCUCGGGACAGGGGGCCCAGCCAGGCCAGAGGUGCUGGGCAGGAAGGAGCCCGCCCAGCUGCCUGGCAUGUGUACCCAGACCCAGAGGGCCAGGGGGGGUCCCACAGCCGGCAGAAGGGUCGAGAGGCACAGAGAGCUCAGGAGCGCAGGGUGCAGCUGGUCUGUUCGGCAGGGGCUGGAAGGGGCUCCCGGCUGCUCCCAGCCGGCCGAGGGGAUCCAGCACCGCCCAGGAGCACCAGCAUCUCUGCCAAGGGGCUGUCGCUGAGCAGGAAAAAUGUUUACGUUCACAGAGACCAGAGCCCACGAGGGACCGAGCCUGCUGCCAAAAGUGCUUUUGGUUAGCUGCCCAGCUGUGCCACAGCGGGCACUGAGGCAGCAGGUGCAGGGCGGACCUUUCACAUGGGCUGUGGGAGCCGGGGCUUCCUGACCCCCAGCCCGGGAGCUGAGGGGGACGCUCGAGCCCAGGCUGACCGUUCCCUGCUAUGGAGCGACUUUGCCCAUCAGAGUCGGCUGCCCAGCCUGUGGGCACUGCGCUCCGAAGGUAGAGAUGCAGCACGAAGUGGGGGCAUCGGGAUCGAAAGAGCUAAGGGGUCCAAGGGCCCCGCCUGGGUCCUGCCCAGCCUACCCUUUGCCAGCUUCUUCCCACUGCUGUCCACCCAGCUCUUCCACUUUCGAAAGGGCGUCUCCUGGGGUGGGGGGGGGGAGCAAGGCAGGCCGGCCUCUUCAGCCCCCACCUGGGGCUGCCUCUGCAGGGCCAGUUCUUCUCGGCCUUCAGGGAGGCCCAGGCUGGGCCCAUCCCUGUCUUUGGAAGCCCACACCUGCUGAUGAAGAAGGACGGCGGGCCCUGGCCAAGCAGGAAGGUGCAGCCGGGGCUGAGUUUGCAUGAUAGGAGGAGCUCCGGCUUGGGGGACAGCUUUUUGGACCUGAGGUAUCGGCGAAGGGUCAUCAAUAGGGAUGAGCAGGACCAGGACGCCUUGGGCAGUGACGCCAGUGACUUCAGCGACACCUCUGGGGAGGACAGUGGAGGCAGCUCAGUAGUGAAGGUCUAAGCCCUCGAGCUGUGGAUUCCGUCCUGGGUUCCGUGCAUUUGUGGAAAGCGGCGCAGCCAUGCCUGUGUCAUGCGUGUGUCAUGCUUGUGUUUGAUGGUCUGUGGUUAUUGGGAGGGGAGCAGGAGACUGUUAUACAUACCCCUGUAUAUACGUACACCAACAUGUAACGAUGCUUUUAUUUAACAGACGCGUCCCGGUAAAUAUGAUUUUUGUAGCUUUUUGUAAAUUAUUUAAAGUGAUGUAAAAAAUAUUUUUGGAAAAUCCUGUUGUUCAGUUUUGUAGGGUGUUCCUAACUGCAGUUUUCUGUGUUCUGCAUUCAAGUCUUAGAUUAGAAAACACUGGCUUCUUACCAUCACAGCCAGGUUCCCAGAGACUCUGAUGCUUUUUGGUCGGUUGCUGGUGAGAAUGUCCGGCGGGGCUGCAGUGGUAGCCUGAAGGAGGCCGAGCUGCCCUCCCGGGAAUCACUCAGAUGCCCCAAGGUGUCCGUCGGGAAGCUCCCGGGACAGCACUUUUUAUACAGAGGACACCAACCCCCACCUGGCCCCCCUGUCCUUGGAGGCCAGAGCACAUCUGAAAACCGCAGUCACAGCCGUCGGUUGGAAAAAAGUUUUGAAGCACAAUGGCCAUCAAACCCGUGACCGCCCCCGUUGCAUGUGAAAUCCAUGCUGAUGUCAGUGCAGUGACUCUGCAGCCCAGCCCUGGGCCUGGGUGAGUUCAUGUCCAAUCUUGUUCAAUCACUAGAUGAUUCUAACAUCUAAAUAAGCCUCUUUUAUAUGGAA